rnacentral:miRNA from 1 species
GUGUGUGUGCGUGUGUAUACAUAUAUAUGUGUAUGUGUACACACACACACACAUACACACU